rnacentral:rRNA from 1 species
GGGUUGUGAGGUUAAGCGACUAAGCGUACACGGUGGAUGCCCUGGCAGUCAGAGGCGAUGAAGGACGUGCUAAUCUGCGAUAAGCGUCGGUAAGGUGAUAUGAACCGUUAUAACCGGCGAUUUCCGAAUGGGGAAACCCAGUGUGUUUCGACACACUAUCAUUAACUGAAUCCAUAGGUUAAUGAGGCGAACCGGGGGAACUGAAACAUCUAAGUACCCCGAGGAAAAGAAAUCAACCGAGAUUCCCCCAGUAGCGGCGAGCGAACGGGGAGCAGCCCAGAGCCUGAAUCAGUGUGUGUGUUAGUGGAAGCGUCUGGAAAGGCGCGCGAUACAGGGUGACAGCCCCGUACACAAAAAUGCACAUGCUGUGAGCUCGAUGAGUAGGGCGGGACACGUGGUAUCCUGUCUGAAUAUGGGGGGACCAUCCUCCAAGGCUAAAUACUCCUGACUGACCGAUAGUGAACCAGUACCGUGAGGGAAAGGCGAAAAGAACCCCGGCGAGGGGAGUGAAAAAGAACCUGAAACCGUGUACGUACAAGCAGUGGGAGCACGCUUCGGCGUGUGACUGCGUACCUUUUGUAUAAUGGGUCAGCGACUUAUAUUCUGUAGCAAGGUUAACCGAAUAGGGGAGCCGAAGGGAAACCGAGUCUUAACUGGGCGUUAAGUUGCAGGGUAUAGACCCGAAACCCGGUGAUCUAGCCAUGGGCAGGUUGAAGGUUGGGUAACACUAACUGGAGGACCGAACCGACUAAUGUUGAAAAAUUAGCGGAUGACUUGUGGCUGGGGGUGAAAGGCCAAUCAAACCGGGAGAUAGCUGGUUCUCCCCGAAAGCUAUUUAGGUAGCGCCUCGUGAAUUCAUCUCCGGGGGUAGAGCACUGUUUCGGCAAGGGGGUCAUCCCGACUUACCAACCCGAUGCAAACUGCGAAUACCGGAGAAUGUUAUCACGGGAGACACACGGCGGGUGCUAACGUCCGUCGUGAAGAGGGAAACAACCCAGACCGCCAGCUAAGGUCCCAAAGUCAUGGUUAAGUGGGAAACGAUGUGGGAAGGCCCAGACAGCCAGGAUGUUGGCUUAGAAGCAGCCAUCAUUUAAAGAAAGCGUAAUAGCUCACUGGUCGAGUCGGCCUGCGCGGAAGAUGUAACGGGGCUAAACCAUGCACCGAAGCUGCGGCAGCGACGCUGAUGCGUUGUUGGGUAGGGGAGCGUUCUGUAAGCCUGCGAAGGUGUGCUGUGAGGCAUGCUGGAGGUAUCAGAAGUGCGAAUGCUGACAUAAGUAACGAUAAAGCGGGUGAAAAGCCCGCUCGCCGGAAGACCAAGGGUUCCUGUCCAACGUUAAUCGGGGCAGGGUGAGUCGACCCCUAAGGCGAGGCCGAAAGGCGUAGUCGAUGGGAAACAGGUUAAUAUUCCUGUACUUGGUGUUACUGCGAAGGGGGGACGGAGAAGGCUAUGUUGGCCGGGCGACGGUUGUCCCGGUUUAAGCGUGUAGGCUGGUUUUCCAGGCAAAUCCGGAAAAUCAAGGCUGAGGCGUGAUGACGAGGCACUACGGUGCUGAAGCAACAAAUGCCCUGCUUCCAGGAAAAGCCUCUAAGCAUCAGGUAACAUCAAAUCGUACCCCAAACCGACACAGGUGGUCAGGUAGAGAAUACCAAGGCGCUUGAGAGAACUCGGGUGAAGGAACUAGGCAAAAUGGUGCCGUAACUUCGGGAGAAGGCACGCUGAUAUGUAGGUGAAGUCCCUCGCGGAUGGAGCUGAAAUCAGUCGAAGAUACCAGCUGGCUGCAACUGUUUAUUAAAAACACAGCACUGUGCAAACACGAAAGUGGACGUAUACGGUGUGACGCCUGCCCGGUGCCGGAAGGUUAAUUGAUGGGGUUAGCGCAAGCGAAGCUCUUGAUCGAAGCCCCGGUAAACGGCGGCCGUAACUAUAACGGUCCUAAGGUAGCGAAAUUCCUUGUCGGGUAAGUUCCGACCUGCACGAAUGGCGUAAUGAUGGCCAGGCUGUCUCCACCCGAGACUCAGUGAAAUUGAACUCGCUGUGAAGAUGCAGUGUACCCGCGGCAAGACGGAAAGACCCCGUGAACCUUUACUAUAGCUUGACACUGAACAUUGAGCCUUGAUGUGUAGGAUAGGUGGGAGGCUUUGAAGUGUGGACGCCAGUCUGCAUGGAGCCGACCUUGAAAUACCACCCUUUAAUGUUUGAUGUUCUAACGUUGACCCGUAAUCCGGGUUGCGGACAGUGUCUGGUGGGUAGUUUGACUGGGGCGGUCUCCUCCUAAAGAGUAACGGAGGAGCACGAAGGUUGGCUAAUCCUGGUCGGACAUCAGGAGGUUAGUGCAAUGGCAUAAGCCAGCUUGACUGCGAGCGUGACGGCGCGAGCAGGUGCGAAAGCAGGUCAUAGUGAUCCGGUGGUUCUGAAUGGAAGGGCCAUCGCUCAACGGAUAAAAGGUACUCCGGGGAUAACAGGCUGAUACCGCCCAAGAGUUCAUAUCGACGGCGGUGUUUGGCACCUCGAUGUCGGCUCAUCACAUCCUGGGGCUGAAGUAGGUCCCAAGGGUAUGGCUGUUCGCCAUUUAAAGUGGUACGCGAGCUGGGUUUAGAACGUCGUGAGACAGUUCGGUCCCUAUCUGCCGUGGGCGCUGGAGAACUGAGGGGGGCUGCUCCUAGUACGAGAGGACCGGAGUGGACGCAUCACUGGUGUUCGGGUUGUCAUGCCAAUGGCACUGCCCGGUAGCUAAAUGCGGAAGAGAUAAGUGCUGAAAGCAUCUAAGCACGAAACUUGCCCCGAGAUGAGUUCUCCCUGAC